GACGAACGCUGGCGGCGUGCUUAACACAUGCAAGUCGAACGGAAAGGCCCUGCUUUUGUGGGGUGCUCGAGUGGCGAACGGGUGAGUAACACGUGAGUAACCUGCCCUUGACUUUGGGAUAACUUCAGGAAACUGGGGCUAAUACCGGAUAGGAGCUCCUGCUGCAUGGUGGGGGUUGGAAAGUUUCGGCGGUUGGGGCUGGACUCGCGGCUUAUCAGCUUGUUGGUGGGGUAGUGGCUUACCAAGGCUUUGACGGGUAGCCGGCCUGAGAGGGUGACCGGCCACAUUGGGACUGAGAGACGGCCCAGACUCCUACGGGAGGCAGCAGUGGGGAAUAUUGCACAAUGGGCGGAAGCCUGAUGCAGCAACGCCGCGUGCGGGAUGACGGCCUUCGGGUUGUAAACCGCUGUCGCCUGUGACGAAGCGUGAGUGACGGUAAUGGGUAAAGAAGCACCGGCUAACUACGUG
rnacentral:rRNA from 1 species